GCCUGCCCUGUGACCCCAAGUUUAACGGCCGCGGUAUCCUGACCGUGCAAAGGUAGCGCAAUCACUUGUCCCUUAAAUGAGGACCUGUAUGAAUGGCAUAACGAGGGCUUAACUGUCUCCUUUCCCCAGCCAAUGAAAUUGAUCUUCCCGUGCAGAAGCGGGAAUACCAACAUAAGACGAGAAGACCCUAUGGAGCUUUAGACACUAGAACAGACCAUGUCAGCUACCCCCACAAAAAAGUAGUAGUUAUUGAACCCCUGUUCUCCGUCUUCGGUUGGGGCGACCACGGGGAAUAAAAAAACCCCCAUGUGGACCGGGAGCACACCACUCCUAAAACCACGAGCCACCGCUCUAAAUAACAGAAUUUCUGACCAAAAAGAUCCGGCAACGCCGAUCAACGGACCCAGUUACCCUAGGGAUAACAGCGCAAUCCUCUUCAAGAGUCCAUAUCGAC
rnacentral:rRNA from 1 species